rnacentral:tRNA from 1 species
GGUGGCUCAGUGGUAGAGUGCUUGCCUCCCAUGUAUGAGGCCCUAGGUUCAAUUCCUCAGCACCA